GUGAACGCUGGCGGUAGGCCUAACACCUGCCAGUCGAACGGCAGCACAGUAAGAGCUUGCUCUUACGGGUGGCGAGUGGCGGACGGGUGAGGAAUACAUCGGAAUCUACUUUUUCGUGGGGGAUAACGUAGGGAAACUUACGCUAAUACCGCAUACGACCUACGGGUGAAAGCAGGGGAUCUUCGGACCUUGCGCGAUUGAAUGAGCCGAUGUCGGAUUAGCUAGUUGGCGGGGUAAAGGCCCACCAAGGCGACGAUCCGUAGCUGGUCUGAGAGGAUGAUCAGCCACACUGGAACUGAGACACGGUCCAGACUCCUACGGGAGGCAGCAGUGGGGAAUAUUGGACAAAGGGCGCAAGCCUGAUCCAGCCAUACCGCGUGGGUGAAGAAGGCCUUCGGGUUGUAAAGCCCUUUUGUUGGGAAAGAAAAGCAGCAGGUUAAUACCCCGCUGUUCUGACGGUACCCAAAGAAUAAGCACCGGCUAACUUCGUG
rnacentral:rRNA from 1 species